rnacentral:rRNA from 1 species
GAUGAACGCUGGCGGCGUGCCUAAUACAUGCAAGUCGAGCGAACAGAUGAGGAGCUUGCUCCUCUGACGUUAGCGGCGGACGGGUGAGUAACACGUGGAUAACCUACCUAUAAGACUGGGAUAGCUUCGGGAAACCGGAGCUAAUACCGGAUAAUAUAUUGAACCGCAUGGUUCAAUAGUGAAAGACGGUUUUGCUGUCACUUAUAGAUGGAUCCGCGCCGCAUUAGCUAGUUGGUAAGGUAACGGCUUACCAAGGCAACGAUGCGUAGCCGACCUGAGAGGGUGAUCGGCCACACUGGAACUGAGACACGGUCCAGACUCCUACGGGAGGCAGCAGUAGGGAAUCUUCCGCAAUGGGCGAAAGCCUGACGGAGCAACGCCGCGUGAGUGACGAAGGUCUUCGGAUCGUAAAACUCUGUUAUUAGGGAAGAACAAAUGUGUAAGUAACUAUGCACGUCUUGACGGUACCUAAUCAGAAAGCCACGGCUAACUACGUG